UAAUACGUAGGGAGCAAGCGUUGUCCGGAUUUAUUGGGCGUAAAGAGCUCGUAGGCGGUUACGUAAGUCAGGUGUGAAACCUCCAGGCUCAACCUGGAGACGCCACUUGAUACUGCGUUGACUUGAGUUCGGUAGGGGUAAGCGGAAUUCCUGGUGUAGCGGUGAAAUGCGCAGAUAUCAGGAGGAACACCGACGGCGAAGGCAGCUUACUGGGCCGAUACUGACGCUGAGGAGCGAAAGCGUGGGGAGCGAACAGGAUUAGAUACCCUGGUAGUCCACGCCGUAAACGUUGGGAACUAGGUGUGGGAGGUAAUCAACGCCUUCCGUGCCGUAGCUAACGCAUUAAGUUCCCCGCCUGGGGAGUACGGUCGCAAGACUA
rnacentral:rRNA from 1 species